AGCAGUGGUUGAUAUCAGAUGUCUUCUUUUAUUGCUCUAUUUCAUUUCUUAAAGACAGACAGUGUCCCUUACUGAACCUAUAGCUCACUGAUUGGCUAGACUGGGUACCCAGCAAGCUCCAGCGACCCUCCUCUCUGCCUCUCCAGCAUCUGCACUAGCUUUGUAUGUUGGUUCUGUGGAUCCAAACUCAGGUUGUCAUACUGUUGACCAGUUGCUGAAGUGUGUAAAAAACAAACAACGGACAAACAAACAAGUCCUCUCCCUCUCCCCUGUGGCUGCAUAGGAUACUUCUUCAGCCUUCUAGAAAAAUCUAGACUUCAUACUGCUUUUAAUUAUUUUAUUGUUUUGGACCUAAGUAAACAAACUCAUCAAGAUGGUUUUAUGUGCUUUUAUGCAAAGGAGACAAUUAAGGAUUAUAGGUCUUUGAGGUGCCAGAUCCUCUCUUUAUGAUGCAGGUCAUCAUAUUUUAUUUUUAGCAUGGGUGGCAUGGCGGAUAUCUUGCUUGGAGCAGGAGAAAGAUGUCUUCUUUUGGGGCAUGAACAGAGAAUGGCAUUGUUGCAUCAGCCCAAGGUUAGAGGUUCCUAAGCCCUAGAUUCAGAAGGAAUCAAAACAGCAAGGUGCACAGUUCUCACCUGUUAUCAAAUGGUUUUCCAGUUAGGAUCUCCCUGGCUUAGUACUGAGUCAAACCAAAACCCUGGAUGGAAAGGACAUGUCCAGUGUCUAAUUUAGGGACUAAGAACUUACUUCUGCCCAGCACUAUGCAUCAUUUACCAAGCCUGCUCACCAUCAUUAGCCUGUUGAACCCUUCUAUUAUCUGCCAGGCAGGGCCAAUGCUGUUAAAUCACUUUUACUCAAGGUCACACACAGACUGGGGUGGAGGCUGUUCAUGGUUUCUGAGCACCAGUUUUCUAUGCUUUCUACACUUCCAUCUUGCAGGCUGAGAUAAUGCCAAGCGGGAUGCUGACAGGUGCAACUCUGCAGAUCUUGCUGAGGAAUUAAUGACAGAAGAGGUUCUUCUGAGAGUUCUGCUUUCCGCCUGCUUUGUGGGAGCCGCUGCUCUUCUUCAGGAAGUACGUGGCCGAGCCGUGAGUUCAGCACAGCAGGUGUCUUUGAUCUGAAACAAAACUGCCAUGAAGACAGAGGACAAGUGGGUGAUAGCCAGACAGCUGCCAGGAAGAUUCAUCGGCUGAAACAUUCCAGACGAGUGCCAGGAUUAUAGGCUUGCACCGCCACGCCCAGCGCUGCAUCAAAAACAGAGCUUUGAACACUCAAGGCAAGUACUUCAUCAACUGCGUUACAUGAGCAGCCUCCAAAGUGGUCGUCUUGUGAGUGAAUCAAUACGCACAAAAACGAAUGUUGGCUCUUCAGCUCCUGCUCUGGGAUACAAGAGGUGAAAAGGAAAUCCGAGGAUCCCACCACAACAUCGUUCUUUGAACCUCUAAUCUCCAGAUGGUUGGCUUCCUCCCCUUUUCAGCAUAUUAGAUAUGUGUCUUGUAGAAUCCCAGGGUUUCUCCAGAACUUGAUAAUAACAUUCUCUGCUGAAGACACGAGACACUUUGCUCACAGGUCAUAGAGAAAUCAUGCUGGUCCUGACCAGAAGCUCCACCCCUGUCGGCUCAUUUGCAUAUCUACUGCCACCAUUUUGUUAAAUGGGUUUGGUAUCAAAUCAUCCUCUAAAUUCAUAUCUGUAUACCCAUCGACAAGCGAUGCUAUCAGACUUCAUCAGAGAAGUUUCUUUGUACAGUGAAUAGUGGCAACACAGAGACUCUUGACUAGUCAAAGUGCAGAGAAAACAUGUUAGAGCGAUGUUCAGCCACCAGCGAGAUGCUACAGCACACCCUUGCCCCUGAGACUGUUGUGAAAGGGGGCAGGGGGCAGAAAGAUUGUAAGAGACAGCGGCCCCGGAGCGAACAGUGUCUUCUGAAUGUGACAGGACCACUGCGCUUGUGAACUCGGAGCAGCUGUGGGUGCCACGCAAGAUGAAGCCAGCCAACAUUUCAUCACGAAGUGAGGAGGGACUCACAGGCCCCCACGCCUAGCUGAGGGGCUAAGGACAGUCGAUGGGUUCUUCAGGAGGGAAGGUCGGUUUUUUUAAGGGUGUGAUCCUUGGUAGGUAGGCAGGCUUUGCUCCAGCAGGUGGUCACAUACACGUGGAUAUGCAGACAACACAAACUGGAUUACAUGGGUUAAAAAAAAAAAUAGAGAACACCAGGGUGGGAAGGGUCUGUGUGGAGUUAAGGAGGAUCAAGACACACAUGUGAAAAUUUCCAAGAAUUAAUGAAAUAUAUUAACAGAAUUCUGGGGGCUUCUGUUAGGAGGAAGAAUAAAGACAUAUACAUGAAUUUAAUCUUCCUGGAAGUUUCUUUCUCUUCUUCCCUCUCCUUAUUGAAGCACAGCCAUUCUCUAAAGCCUUGAAGCUCAUGAGGGACACCAGGUUCAGGUUCUUGAUAUGCAAACCUGGUCUUGAACUUGACCUAAUCUUGCUACUUUUUUUUUGUCUGCAUGCUAAAAUUAUAGAUGUGAAUGAUGGCAGCUGGCUCCUACUUUUUUCUUUUUAAAUGUAUGAGAAUAAAUAUUUUUAUAACCUAGUUAUACCUUAUGAUACAUUAAGUAACCCAACCACUAAAAUUAUGAAUAGAGAAGAUGUUUUCUUUUAAGUUAGGAUUAAAAUGUGUGGGUACCAUAAGUGAAAAAGAUUAUAUGACUGUGGAAAUUGUUAAGUGGAAGAACAAUUAUAAGAAUGAAAACUCCUAAAUAUUCCAUGACCAUUCAUUGGAUGGAAUUGUAUGUUUUUCUUUAAUAUGCAA